UACAGAGGGGGCAAGCGUUAUUCGGAAUUAUUGGGCGUAAAGGGCGCGUAGGCGGCCUGGUAAGUGGAAGGUGAAAUCCCUCGGCUUAACCGAGGAACUGCCCUCCAAACUGCUUGGCUUGAGUCCGGGAGAGGUGAGUGGAAUUCCCAGUGUAGCGGUGAAAUGCGUAGAUAUUGGGAGGAACACCAGUGGCGAAGGCGGCUCGCUGGACCGGAACUGACGCUGAGGCGCGAAAGCGUGGGGAGCAAACAGG
rnacentral:rRNA from 1 species